rnacentral:SRP_RNA from 1 species
GCCAGGCAUGGUGGCUCAUGCCUGUAAUCCUAGCACUUUGGGAGGCUGAGGCUGGUGGAUCACCUGAGGUCAGGAGUUUGAGACUAGCCUGGCCAACAUGGUGAAACCCUGUCUCUA